CGUAGGCUUUUGAGUGGACCCUGUCCUAUGACAAACUUUUCCAGAUUAGGUGUAAUCAGUUUGAGGUAAUGCAAACAGCGAACAUUGCUUAGAGCAGCAAGAACAUCCCUGUUGAGCUUAUCAGAGGAUGAUAGACACAGCUCAGUAAGACCUUUCAGCAAGGUUACAAAUGGAGGUAAUAUGUUUAUUUUGCCUUUUAGCUUCAGAGAGCUUAAGUAGCAGGAAUCUUCCAGGGAAAACUUCAGCAUAUUCUCUUGGUCUUGGAAGCACCCCCCAAAAUUCAGAGAAAGCGAGCGGACAUCGUUCAUAUUGGUGCCCCUCUGGAUGAAAACUUGAAUGGCCUUUGAAAGGUGAAUAGUGUUGCUGCUAGAAUUGGAAGGGGUCUCGCUCUCGCACCAUAUUUUAACCUUGGCCAAGUUUUUCAUAUGAUCAAUGAGUUGAGGAAAUCCUUGGUCAUUAUUGGCAAAAAAUCCCGCUAGUGUCUCCAGCUUACUUUUCUCAGACAGAUACUUCUGUAGCUUGCUAAUUUUCUGGCCUACAUCUUGAAGUUUGAAAUUUCCAAAUAGAUGUGUCAAGCAUGGCAGCUUGAUGACUUGUAUGGGCAGAACUUUUAUCUUUGUUCUUCGUACAUCGAGUGUCUCCAAAAAUUUCAGUUUUGUGAUCUCCUUUGGGAGCAUUGUAACAGUGCCCCCAAGGCUUAAAUACCUGAGCAGCAACAGCUUGCAUAUCUUCCUGAGAUGUUCAUCUUUCAAAUUUUCACAUUCUUCAAGAUCCAAAACUCUCAGUAGUUCAUAACUGGAGAAUUCUAAAACAGAGUCUUCUGCCUCUCCGAAGAUUGUCAAAGACCGAACAUGAGAUAAAUCAAUGUCUGAGUUCAUUCUGCCCCUUCUGGUGCUGUUAUGUUGCACAGUAAGGCAACGUAUUUUGUCAGGCAGGCAAGCUUGAUCAUAUAGCAACGUAAUGAAGUCAUCGCACAUGGACUUAUGCAGGAUGAACUCAAGCAUCAUGCCGUGAGUUUGGCAUGUCUUCACCUCAGUGUUACUGCUCGUAGCAACAGGCUGAAUGAUGCUCCGGUUGAUCAGCUCGUUGAAGUAGUCUGUAGCAACAUCCAGAGAACUUCGGAGAGGGUCUGCCUCAACAAGCCCUUCAGCUGACCAUCGCCUUAUCAGUUUUCCUCUCCUGACCGGAUGGCCACUGGGGAAAAUACCAAAAUAGAGCAAGCAGGCCUUGAUAACAUGGCCAGGAAGGCUGGUAUAGUUGUGAACAAGUACAUGCUUCAUUCUUUCUAAAGUAUCCUCUCUUUCCAGAUGCAUACCCAGAUUGCCACACAACUUUGCAUAUUCUUGUGGUAGCUGUUGACCUUUACUUUUCAAGAAUUGGGCUGUUGAUACAAGGGCAAGUGGUAAACCAUCACAUUUAGUACUCAGCACUGUUUCUGAACCAGAGCUGCAGGCAUUUGCUAUGGAAUGGAUGGCCGUCGUCACCAGCACUAUGCUGCUUGAUCCUGUAUCUACAGGGAAAGCAUCUUUUAUAGUACUGUUCCAAUAUUCCCUCUGGAUGUCAUCAAUUACAAUGAAGAACCUAUAGAGAUGUAUUUAGAAAUAAGGUAAAUGGAUCAGUGCUUAGUAG
rnacentral:sRNA from 1 species